rnacentral:rRNA from 1 species
AACGAACGCUGGCGGCAGGCUUAACACAUGCAAGUCGAACGCCCCGCAAGGGGAGUGGCAGACGGGUGAGUAACGCGUGGGAACAUACCCUUUUCUACGGAAUAGCUCUGGGAAACUGGAAUUAAUACCGUAUACGCCCUACGGGGGAAAGAUUUAUCGGGGAAGGAUUGGCCCGCGUUGGAUUAGCUAGUUGGUGGGGUAAAGGCCUACCAAGGCGACGAUCCAUAGCUGGUCUGAGAGGAUGAUCAGCCACAUUGGGACUGAGACACGGCCCAAACUCCUACGGGAGGCAGCAGUGGGGAAUAUUGGCCAAUGGGCGCAAGCCUGAUCCAGCCAUGCCGCGUGAGUGAUGAAGGCCUUAGGGUUGUAAAGCUCUUUCACCGAUGAAGAUAAUGACGGUAGUCGGAGAAGAAGCCCCGGCUAACUUCGUG